rnacentral:rRNA from 1 species
GUACACUCCUACGGGAGGCAGCAGUGGGGAAUUUUGGACAAUGGGCGAAAGCCUGAUCCAGCCAUGCCGCGUGCAGGAUGAAGGCCUUCGGGUUGUAAACUGCUUUUGUACGGAACGAAACGGCCUUUUCUAAUAAAGAGGGCUAAUGACGGUACCGUAAGAAUAAGCACCGGCUAACUACGUGCCAGCAGCCGCGGUAAUACGUAGGGUGCAAGCGUUAAUCGGAAUUACUGGGCGUAAAGCGUGCGCAGGCGGUUAUGUAAGACAGUUGUGAAAUCCCCGGGCUCAACCUGGGAACUGCAUCUGUGACUGCAUAGCUAGAGUACGGUAGAGGGGGAUGGAAUUCCGCGUGUAGCAGUGAAAUGCGUAGAUAUGCGGAGGAAUACCGAUGGCGAAGGCAAUCCCCUGGACCUGUACUGACGCUCAUGCACGAAAGCGUGGGGAGCAAACAGGAUUAGAAACCCUUGUAGUCCCAUGAU